GACGAACGCUGGCGGCGUGCUUAACACAUGCAAGUCGAACGGAAAGGCCCUGCUUUUGUUGGGUGCUCGAGUGGCGAACGGGUGAGUAACACGUGAGUAACCUGCCCUUGACUUUGGGAUAACUUCAGGAAACUGGGGCUAUUACCGGAUAUGAUCUCCUGCUGCAUGUUGGUGGUUGGAAAGUUUCGGCGGUUGGGGAUGGUCUCGCGGCUUAUCGGCUUGUUAGUGUGGUAGUGGCUUACCAAGGCUUUGACGGGUAGCCGGCCUGAGAGGGUGACCGGGGACAAGGGGACUAAGAGAGGGAGCAGAAGGCUACGGGAGGCAGCGGGGGAGAAUAUGGCAGAACGGGGGGAAGUCAGAGACAGAAGCGCUGGGUGCGGAAUGACGGCCUUCGGGGGAUAAACAGAUGUCGAAGGUGACGAGGAGGGAGUGACGGUAAUGGGUAAAGAAGCAACGGCUAACUACGUG
rnacentral:rRNA from 1 species